rnacentral:lncRNA from 1 species
UUUUGUAGAUUGGGGGUCUUUGAUCAGCACCAAGGAGUUUAUCUGCACCAUUCCAGAUGAAGGUCUUGUUCCCUGGGCCCAACAGCAAUUCCAAGAUGAGCCAUAGACCUUCCAAUAGGAUGGUGUGUCCCCUCCCCCUUACAUCCAGUGAGACGCAGUGGUGGUGUGAGGUCAAUUUGAAUUAUUUUUGGGACAAGACAGUCUGACCCCUCCAGCUCCGCCCUAACCGUCAUGGAUUACUCUAUGUGGUCCAUUCUUGAGAUCAGAGUAUCUCAGUAAGAAUUUUUGGCAACCUGAAGGCCAAACUGAUGGCUGGCCAGUACUCCGUCCCCGUGGACAUGAUGCGUGCAGCAUGCAAGUCCUUUCAAGAGAGACUUCGGGCUGUGAAAGAAAAGUUGAAGUGAUAAUUAUGAGUCCUAAGUAUCUAAUUCAAAAUAGGAUAGAAAAUUUACAACAAAAUAUUAAAAAAUAGUUAUUUCUUUCUAUUGUAAAAGAGAUCAGAGGGCUUCGAUAAAGAUACUAGUAUUUAGAUUUCGAUCAAUUGUAUGAAGAUAAAUUCUUUAUAGAUGUUGACUGUUGUUUAUUUAUUGGAGGAGCUAGAAAUUAAUCAUUCAUGAAUAAAAAUUAUCUUGACUUUCAUGAGAAGAAAUGUUGGUCCCUUUCCUCAACUUCAUGUGAAUGAGUAAUUCAUUAAUGGGCUAUAUUCAUAUUAUCUUGAAAGAUGCUGAUCCAAAAGGAUGAUAGCUCUUCGUUAUCUUGGGGAGUCAGUCCUUUCUCACUAAAGAAACAGAUUCCGAGGAUUGAACUUAUUUUACAUUAGCAUCGAAAUGAGGAGAGGCAGUUCCUACUCAUCUAGAAACUCUUUCGGGAGAUAAAAAAGACAAUUUCCUUGUUACCUAACCUUUUAAUAGUAACAUUGACCAAUAGAAGGAUUAGUUUUAAUGGAUUUAAAUUCUAAUUCAAGGACUCCUAGCGACAAGGAUUUCAUACGUUUAUUAUUUAUUGAAAAGAGUAGAAUCUUGAAAUUAACUUCUUGGGUUGUCCAACUCCUCUUUGGAAGAACCACUUUGAGUGUAGAAUACUUUUAAUUUAAUUACCACUUAAUCAAAAAUAAAAUUACUUCCAUAAAGUCUCAAAUAAUAAUGAGUAAUAAAAUUAAAGGACUUAAAAUUGAACACGCAUGCCCUAUUAGGUAAAUUCUGGGAAGGGAAGAAAAAGUUGAACACGGCAUGUGAGAAAUUGAUAUCAAUGUGACAUUUUGCAUGGGCAAGAAGAUAUUACCCACAACCAUGACUCUCCUCAAGCUAACAUGCGUGUUUCGCUACUACGAGCAAUGCAGUGUUUUCCUGCAGUUUGUACAUAUUAUAUUACAAUGACUGAAAUUCCAUUCAAUACACAAAGGAGAUAUUAAUAACUACAAUAAUUUGCAAAUAUUCUAUAAGUUCAAUGUAAUGGUUGCCUUCAGCUAUACUAAAGCUAAGCAUGAAUAAGUGGAUCCUGAAUACUUUACAAAUGAACAAACAAAGAACUGAAAGACGCAUUUAACUUUUUGAUCUUUGUCAAAAUAAAAAAGAUGAAUGUUGUUGUUGUCGUCACCCCGGAUAAGAAAAGGUCAUGAAUGCGUGAAUGUAAUGCGACGGAACAUUAGUAAACAGACAUAUAUUAACAACUCAUCAUCAUUUGUCUGUUACGUAUGUGCAUAUGUAGGUUUGUAAAUCCUAAGGAUUUUUUAGCGUGCGAGUUUUUUGUUGUUGGCAACCUAAACAGUGUUUUAUUAUUUUAUACAGCUGUUAUCUUUAUUUUUUUGAUCUCGAGAAGUGAAUAGCUAAGUAUGAAGUGCCUGUGUUCAUGAAUGACAGAGAGUGAAACUCAAGAUUUGUUGGGGAGUUAUAGGAGGUGUGUUCAAAAACAUUUUUCGGUACAACCUUGAGAACUUCCAGCGAUACAGUCUUUAACUCCUCAAUCGUUAGUAAUCUCCGUCUUUUCAUAGGUCUCCUGAGUUUUUGGGAACAAGAAAAAGUCACAUGGGGCCAAAUCCGGUGAAUAUGGUGGCUGAGGGAUGAUUCUGAUGGUGUUUUUGGGCAAAAAAUGAGAUGAUUCUUUUGGUCAAAAAAAAAAUAUGGCACGAUCCAACCGAGAUGUCAAUAUCCUUAGUAACUUCUCUAAUAUUGAUUAAACUGUUUUUAAAAACAAUUUUCUUCACUGCUACAAUGUUUUCAUCUCCUGUUUACGCGCUUAGGUGACCAGAGCGAGGCUCGUCAUUGGCACCUUCCUGACCAUACUGGAUGAGUUUGUACCAGCUUUUUUUUACUCAGAACAGUUACACCAUAUGCCACUUCCUACAAAACAAGUGUUUUAGAGCACUUUAUUUCAUUUUUUACACAUCAUUUGAUACAAAUUCUUUAAUCCAUGUUUUUUAAUAGUAAAAAUUGCCAAACACUAUUAAAUA